GCUUGUCUCAAAGAUUAAGCCAUGCAUGUCUAAGUAUAAACAACUUUAUACUGUGAAACUGCGAACGGCUCAUUAUAUCAGCAAUAAUUUAUUUGAUGGUUCCUUACUACAUGGAUAACUGUAGUAAUUCUAGAGCUAAUACAUGCGCAAAGUCCUGACUCGCAAGGGGAGGGAUGUAUUUAUUAGAUUUCAAUCAACACUUUUUGCUGACUCAUGAUAACUUAGCGGAUCGCAGAGGCCUCGCGCCGGCGACAAAUCAUUCAAGUUUCUGCCCUAUCAGCUUUCGAUGGUAGUGUAUUGGACUACCAUGGCAUUCACGGGUAACGGAGGAUUAGGGUUCGAUUCCGGAGAGGGAGCCUGAGAAAUGGCUACCACAUCCAAGGAAGGCAGCAGG
rnacentral:rRNA from 1 species